CAAACACACAACCAAAUGAUACUCAAUGUUUGACACUUUGUGACUGUCCAGCUGAAUGAUCACACGACCUGUGGACAACAACAACAACGGCACAACUCCCCACCCCCUUCCCCUUCCCACUCCCCCUCCCCUUCUCACUCCCCCUCCCCUUCUCACUCCCCCUCCCCUUCUCACUCCCCCUCCCCUUCUCACUCCCCCUCAGCUUCCCACUCCCCCUCAGCUUCCCAGUCCCCCUCAGCUUCCCAGUCCCCCUCAUCUUCCCAGUCCCCCUCAUCUUCACAGUCCCCCUCAUCUUCACAUUCCCCCUCAGCUUCACAGUCCCCCUCAGCUUCCCUGGCCCACUCCACUUUCCAUUCCCCUUCUCACCACACCUCUCCAUCUCUUUCUGGGACCCCUUCUCCUCCUUCCCAUACCCCUUCUCCUUCCACUUCGACAUCCCCAUCUGAGCCACCCUCACCCUCUAUUGCUUUACAUUUUUCACCGCCCCCCUCGCCCUCUCAAUCCGACCCCCCCUCUGAAUUUGCGGCCAAAAUCCAGCCUCCUUCCCCCAUCCAGCCUCCUGCCCCAAUCCCUCCUCCUUCCCCAAUCACUCCUCCUUCCCCAAUCACUCCUCCUUCCCCCAUCCAGCCGCCUUCCCCCAUCGAGCCACCAUCCCCACCAACUGAAUGGGCACAGGAAGCCCCUGCUGGAAAUUCCGGGAGUCUGGAAGUUUCGGAGGAAAAUGUUGCCGUUGGAGAUCAAAUUUCUUUUGAGGACAUUCUGCAACAGAUGAAAACACAUUUACAGGCCUUGCUGGCUCUUGUAGAGCAAAUGCAAAAUGUCCAUUAGUUCAGU